CAGUAGCCACGGUAAUACGGAGGAUCCGAGCGUUAUCCGGAAUUAUUGGGUUUAAAGGGUGCGUAGGCGGAUAGAUAAGUCAGUGGUGAAAGACGGUGGCUCAACCAUCGCAGUGCCGUUGAUACUGUUUAUCUUGAAUAUGGAUGAGGUAGGCGGAAUGUGGCAAGUAGCGGUGAAAUGCAUAGAUAUGCCACAGAACACCGAUUGCGAAGGCAGCUUACCAAGGCAAAAUUGACGCUGAGGCACGAAAGCGUGGGGAUCGAACAGGAUUAGAUACCCGUGUAGUCCCUGUCUCUUAUAA
rnacentral:rRNA from 1 species